UCUUACUGUUACACGUGCGACACUGCCACUGGCCGUGGUGACCUUUCCGUCCUCCUGUCACCGCCGGCGCCCGCCGGGCACGGCCAAAGCCUAAGGCGCCGCCAUUCGGUCUCAGACCACCUUCACCUCCAGGACCUUCCCGUCGUCGUCCUGGCGCGCGGCGGCCGCGUCCUCCAGCAUCUGCACGACGGAGCGCAUGGACGGCCGCAUCGACGGCGUGCGGCUGGUGCACAGCACGGCGACGCGCAGCACGCGGACUGCCUCCUCCCUGGCCCACCCUUCCACGAUGCCCGGGUCCACCAGGGACAUCACCUUCUCCCGGCUCUCCAGCCGCCGCGACACCCAGUCCACCAGGUCCCGGCUCUCCACCACCGCCGGCCGCCCCGUCACCAGCUCCAGCAGCACCACGCCGAAGCUGUACACGUCGCUCUUCUCCGUCACCUUGCACGUGUACGCGUACUCCGGCGCCAUGUACCCCAGCGUGCCGGCCACGACGCCGGCGGACGAGUGGCCGCCGCCGCCGCCUGCCGAGCUGAGGAUCUUGGCGAGCCCGAAGUCGGCGAGCCGGGGCUUGAACGACUCGUCCAGGAGGAUGUUGCUGGACUUGACGUCGCGGUGGAGGAUGGGGCGGUCGCAGCCGUGGUGGAGGUACUCGAGGCCCCUCGCCGCGCCCACCGCCACGUCGUGCCGCUCCACCCACCCGAGCGCGCCCAGCUUCCGCCCCGCCGCCCCGUGCAGCCGCUCGUACAGGCUGCCGUUGGGGAGGUGCUCGUACACCAGCAGGCUCGCCGCGCCGUCCGCGCUGGUGAUGCUGCACAGCAGCUUCACCACGUUCACGUGCCGGAUGGCGCUCAGCGUCCCCACCUCCGAGUCGAACUCGCGGCACCGCACCGACGCCGCCGGCCGCAGCAUGGCGGCGGACGGCGCCGUGCUCGUCGCCACCCCCCGCGUGACGUGCUUCACGGCCACCACCGCGCCGUUGCCGAGCUUCACGCGGUACACGUUCCCAGACCCGCCGCUGCCGACCAGGUUCUCGUCGCGGACGCCCUCGAUGAUCUCCCGCUCGUCGAACGCCAGGAUCCGGAACGACUUGAGGUCCCACGAGCCCUUCUUGGCGAACAGCUUCCCCGCGGAGGCCUCCGCGCGCCGCCGCCGCCGCUUCUGCAGGCACAUGGCCACGCCCGCCCCCGCCAGCAGCACCGCCGUGACGGCGAGGAUGCACGUCACGGCCAGGCGCUCCGCGUUCGCCGACCGGCUCCCGGAGCUCCGACCGCAGCGGCGGAGGAAGACAGCGCCGUUGGUGGCACACAGCCCGGGGUUCCCGUCGAAGCUCUCGCCGUAGGCCGAGAUCGCAAGCGCCUCCGGAACGGGCCCGGUGAGGUGGUUGUCGGACAUGUUCAGGCUGCUCAGCUUCAGCGCCGCGAGGCUCGCCGGCACGGCGCCGGAGAGGUCGUUCCGGGAAACGUCGAGGGAGUUGAGCCGCUGCAGGUUGCCCAGCUCCGCGGGGAUCGCGCCGUCGAGCCUGUUCCCAGCGAAAUUGACCGUGCUCAACGCCGAGCAGGAGCCCAGGCUCGCCGGGAUUGGCCCGCCGAUCGCGUUCCCCUCAAUGUUGAGGCUGCCGAGACGGGACAGACUCCCGAUGCUCUCCGGUAUCUCGCCGGAGAGCUGGUUCCGCGACAGGUCCACGCUCUCGAGGCUCGCCGCGUCGCCGAUCGACGGCGGUACCGCGCCGCUGAACUGGUUCCCAGCAAGGAGGAGGUUGGUCAUCGCGGCGGCGUUCCCAAUUCCGUCGCCGAUGCUGCCGCUGAACUGGUUCCCGGCAAGGUCGAGCACGUUGACGUUGGGGAGAGCCCACAGCCCCUCGGGCACCUCGCCGGAGAGGCUGUUGUUGCUGACACGGAACCUCACCAGCGUCUUGCAGCUGGCGUACGUCUCCGGGAUCCCGCCGGAGAAGUUGUUCUCGAGCAUGAGCAGCUUCAGCAUGGUGCCCUGCUUGCACAUGUCCGGCGGGAUGGGCCCCGAGAGCAAGUUGGUGGACACGUCGAUGAAGUUGAACCGCGCCCAGCUGCCGAGGCUCCGCGGCAGCUCGCCGGUGAGGUUGUUGCUGUAGAGGGACAGGUUGACGAGGUCCCGGAAGUCGCCGAACUCCGGGGGCACCUCGCCGGUGAAGCCGUUGAAGAAGAGCUGCAGCGACACGAGGCGCGUGAGGGAGCGGAGCUCGGCGAGGCUGCCGGUGAGGUGGUUCUGGGACGCGUCCAAGUACUGCAGCUUGGUGAGCCUGCCGAAUCCGGCGGGGAGCGCGCCCCGGAGGGAGUUGUUGUAGAGCUCGAGCUGGGUGAGGCUGGUGAGCCUGGCGAUCUCCGGCGGGAUCUCGCCGGUGAGGUCGUUGUCGGAGAGCUCAAGGUCGACGAGGUUGACCAGGUCGCCGAUCUCCGGCGGGAUGGCGCCUCCGAUCUUGGCGGCGGACAUGUAGAGCACGGUGAGGUUGGUGAGCUUCGUGACCUCGGGCGGGAACGCGGCGGUGGGCGCGAGGAACGGGUUGUCGCCGAGCGCGAGCAGGGUGAGGCCCGGCGUGUAUGCGAGCGAGCGCCACGGGAACGCGCCGUCGAAGCAGUUGGACGAGACGUUGAGACUGCGCAGCCCGGCCAGCGGCGAGAGGUCCGGCACGGCGCCCGUGAAGCCGUUGAACGCGAGGUUGAGCUCCUGGAGCGCGGUGCACUUGACGACGCCGUCGAUGGCGCCCGCGAGGGAGUUCUCCGGCAGGGACAGCGCGGCGAGGGAAGGCAGGGCGGCGCAGAGGGCGGCGAACGGGACCGUCGCGGCGGACAGCUUGAGUGCCGGCAGGGAGAGCGCCGUGACGUUGCCGCCGGUGCAGUUGACGCCCGUGAAGCCGCAGGGGGAUGCCGCGGUGGCGCUCCACGUGGCGAAGAAGGGAGCGGCCUCGGGCGGGACGGUGAGGGCGGCCCUGAAGGCCUGGAGCGCGUCCGCCUGGGACGACGUCGACGUCGACGUCGCUGCGGUGGCGCAGGCGACGAUGGCGGCGGCGAGGAAGACGAAGAGGAGGGGGGAGGCGGGCGGCAUGGCGCCGGGGGUUGGGAGCGAAGGGCGACGCGGGGUUCGUUGGUUCCUCGGUGUCAGUGUGUGCAAGUUUGACUGGUUUUAAGGCGGCAGGGCCCCCUUCUCCUCAGUCUGCAGAUGCAGAUGCAGCUACUCCUAUCUACUACUAGUCCAAGUGUUAAUGAUAGAUGUCGAUCUGGGCCGGAUUGGGAGUAGCGGCAAGGACUCGGAUUAUAUGGGGUUUAACUUUAAUAAUUAGUGGCGGAAAACGUCAUACUUAUCCUAUAGAAAAGAAAACGUGUAAUCGAGCUUUUAAUUUGCUGCCAUAUGCAGGGUAAUACAAAGCGCACGUGUUCUCGGACGAUACUCCCUUGUCCUCAAAACGCUGCUAGUAAAGCUAGUUUUUUUUUACUGCUGCAACUACAGAGAUAAAAAUACUUUAAAAACAGUAAAAGGCAGUAAAAGCUGGUACAAUUAAAACCAAACUGAAGAUUUUUUUUUUCAAUAUCGAUACUGGUGUGGUUGGCGACAAAGUCAGAUACCAUCUCAAAAUUGGACGAGUAGGUGUAAUCUAAACAAAAUCUAUAUUUAGCCCUUGAUUUUUUUUGUUGAAGUCUACAUUUAGGCCCUUCAACUAUAAAUCCAUGUAUGUGUAGCCCUCAUCAAAUUAUCAAAAUCAGACAAUUUUGGCUCAUGUCUAAUUUCAAAAGUGGUUUUGAGUACAUAUGUAUUUUCUAAGAAAACUAAAUUAAGAAGUAAGGCACUAAGAUUCGCAAAUAGUUCUUUUUAAAUUAAAAUUAUAGAAUUGGUACUGUUGGGGGCCUUCGGCUUCCGAAGGUCCUCAAAAACAUGAUUUGAUAAUGUUUUCCAAGUGAAAUGUGUGAACAGGUAUCUUCGGAAUCGGAUUACGAGUAUAUAAGAGUAUGGUCAAGACGAAGCUUGAGUGAGACGGAAGGCGAUUGUGACGAAGGAAAAGAUCAUCACGAAGCUACGCGCAGAUAAGCUUCGGCACGACAGCAGAAAAGGAGAACCGACUUAAAGAUGAAAAGUCAAAUUAGACCCUGAAGAAUUACUAUAGAGUUAUUGAUAAAUGUAAAGGGCAUUAAUGUAAUUUUACACGGGCUGCGUCCCGUGCCUAUAAAUAGAUGA
rnacentral:misc_RNA from 1 species